UCUCUACCCUGACACACUUUUAUUUUCAUCCCGACACCUCGCACCAUGUGAAAUGAGCUUAUUUGUGUAUCCCUUUCUGUUCCUCCCACUAGAGUAUAAGCCCUCAAGGCAGAGACUUGGUCCUGCUCACCACUGAAUGCGCAGUGCCCUGGGACAGUCUUGGCACAUCGCCGGCACCCAAUAAAUAUUUGUUGAAUUAAGCGGCUCGUUUUAGGGGCUCCCUCCUUCUCCCCCUCCCUCCUUCAACCUCAGGCUCUAAACCAUUUCCCUUCACACGCAUACCCCAUUCAUUCGUUCAGCCAACACGCCUUGGGCCUCCUUCCCACUCUGUACAGCUGGCCCGUCACACGUACUCUGGGAUCUGGCAGACUUGACUUUGAAUCCUCCCCGUCUCCCACUUGGCUAAGUUCCUUCACUCAUCUAAGCCUUAGUUUCUUUCUCCGUAAACUGGGGACAGUGAUAGCACGAUGAAAAUCUUGUUUGUGAAGAGGCAACAGGACAGCAUGCGUGCCGCAUUUUUCGCCUGGCGCAUAGUAGGCCCUCAGUUAGUGAGAGUCAGCAUCAGCCAGCGGCCAAGGGCGGGUGCCAGGUUGCUACUGCAGCUCCCGCACAGCGGUCCUGAGAGAUGACUGGUGAUCAGUGCCCCUUUGCUUCCUGGGGAAGAACAGGGAAGCCCCUGCCUGCUUCGGCUAUGGAAGGAACCCAUUUAGAAAUGGGGAAAUUGAGGCCCCCAAAGGGCAGGGUGUUGCCUGAGAUCACACAGGGAGUCCUAGAACUCGGGAAUCCUAACUCUUAAUAAAUCUGUUCUUCUGCCCCCACUCCCACCCCGUCUCUCUCCUCCUUUCCUCUUCCUCCAGCUAUCUGUCUCUCUGUAUACGUGGCUGUGUCUCCACUUUCACUCUGCAGUCACUCAGGGAAAGGGGCCAGGGACCCAGGAGACCUGCUUUCUCAGUUGCCAGUUCCCAGGCUCGUCUCGCUGGGCGGCAGCUUCCUGUUUGCUUCAGGCGAACCCCAGGGGACCCUCCAGCUGGUACUGUGCCAGGUGCUGGAGAAAUAGCAAGGGACUAGACAAAGUUCCCAACCUCAUGGAGCUUUGAUUCAAGUUUUGGGGACCUGGAAGGGUAAAGGGGGACAGGUAAUAAACAAGUUAAUCAAUAAACAAUUUCAGAUGGUAAGAAAUCAUCUAAUGGCAGACAGGUGAUAGAGGGACCUACUUGAGACAGGAUGGUGAGGGAAGGCCUCACUGAGGAGGUGUCUUCUGAGGUGAGGAACAGCUUGGUGUGUUCAAAUAAGAUGUUUAGUUUCAUUAGAAACUGUCAUAUUCCUGGGGCACCUGGGUGGCUCAGUUGGUUGAGCGUCCCACUCAAUUUCAACUCAGGUCAUGAUCUCGAGGUUCGUGGGACUGAGCUGAACAUCUGGCUCUGCACUGAAGUGUGAAGCCUGGUUGGGAUUCUCUCUCUCUCCCUCUCUCUCUCUCUCUCUCUCUCUCUGUCCCUCCCCCACUCUCUCUCAAAGUAAAUAAAGAAAGAAAACUGUCA